ensembl:lncRNA
UUUGUUUGGCUUGUUGAUUUGUAGGUCUGAAAAAAAAAAAAACCUGAACAUAUUUUCACAAUUGAUGCUGAAGACAUCCAAAGAUUUCAUGUUAUGAAACCAUCCAAUGAGCUUCCCUGACUCAACCAUGCGCUGGGGAAACCGGGGCAGACACGGAUGAGCUGUGAUCCCCCACCCUGCCUAUGACACGAUCUCACUCAACCAUGAGCUGUAGACAUACUGCAGGCAUCUGAAUUUUAACUGCAUUAAACCAGUCUGGACCAGCUGCAUGAUGAAGCAGAGUUUUGCUUGGAACCAGAGCCGAUGAUGCUGUUAUCCACCCAUCACAGCUUACCAGGACUUCUGGACAGUAAGAGUGUUGUCUCCCUAGUGCCUGCCCAUCCAUGGCAGAAGUCAGUGCCAACCACCCAUAGGAAAGUGGGCUUCUGACCCACCACUGUUCCUUGCACUGCCUGUCUCGUGUUGCAGUGCAUACACAAAAUCACAGAAAAAUUCAAGUUGGAAGAGACCUUUGAAGACCCAGUCCGCCUCUGACUGACUCCCUGCUAAGACAAUGGAAAACUUAGUCAUCUUCCUCAGAUCCCUCUUCAGCUCAGUUUGGAGCGUCUCUGAGGAAGGAUGCAGUGUCUUACAGGAAAGCUAUGGCUGAGUCAUCCUCUGGAUCCCUUUCUUUCAGAUUAGCAGUCCCUUUUACAAUAACUAAGCCAUUUUAUUGUAUUUCUCAAAAAUUGUUCCUUAGCAUGGCACUCACCCUAUGAUGUUUGGACCUGUGUUGUAGGUGGGACUGUAUCAGCACUCCACGGAGAGUUUAUAUCUCCCUUGGCUGAGCAAUGUCAACAAUACUCCAUUACCUGACCAUUAAAAGCCCUGAUGUCUCCUAUUGCCCUCACAUACAUUUGGUGAACGAUGGUUGAAUCUGCCUCUUCUGCCUCUACAAAAUCAGGAGCCUGAAUUUGAAACCACUCUACUUCCCUGGAACAUCCCCAUUUAGGGAAACCAAGCCAGAACCAAAACAUCCGAUUGAAUCCAAAGCUAGUAACGUGGGGGACUUCAUCUUGCUGAUGGAUACAGAGGACAGAGCAGCAUCUUUUCCUGAGUUAGGCAUCCCAUGCUCAGCCAUUCCCUGGGCAGACGGACAACAGCAGUGAUAUCCUGGCGGAGCUGGUGAGACACUUUAAAGCCAGGCACAUAUGUGAUUAACAUGAGCUGCAGAGCCCCACUAAUAACUCUGAAUUUGAAUUUACAGUAUUAACGAGACAGUUGGAGCAAAUAACCUGAGGUCUUGCCAGGAGGGAAUGUCCCCAAGGCAAUUACGAUGAAACACAUGGAUUUUCUGAAGGAAAGAGACACUUCCUGGAAGUUCAGCCAGCAGUGCUGGCAGGACUUGCAGUGGCAGCAUGGCAGCCUUACUCCUCUCUAAAGCAGGAUAGGGGAGAGAAGCAUGGUGUGCCACCAAAAAAUGGGAACCAUAGGAACUGAUGUGACUUGCAAGUAUCAGGAGGAAGAUGUGGCCAGGUGGGGAUGAUUCUUCCAUCCCAGAAAAAAAAUAAAUAAUUAAAUUCUUGAUGUUUUUCCCA